rnacentral:lncRNA from 1 species
CGGCUAGGAGCAGCGCCAGAAGUGGCAAGGCGGAUAGAUCAAACAUCAAGCAGUGCCCCCGCGUGGAUUUGUGGGGAGAAGGUGUCAGCAGUAGCACGCAGGUGGGGAAGGGAGCGGUCGAGCAAAGGGUGGGUGUCACCAGCAGCAACACAAGGUUGGUGGUGAUGAUGUCCCGUGGAAAGAGGUGAACUUACCCCAGCGGAGGUUGCUGGUGAUGAUGUCCCGCGGAAGGCGAUCGGUGGAGGGGCCGCGGCGAUGGAGAUCGCAUGCAGCGCCGCCAUCUGUGCGAGACGAGAGGAAGAACGAGCCGGGAUACUCGCCCAACGACGAGCGAGCAGCAUACUGCG